rnacentral:rRNA from 1 species
CAGUAGCCACGGGAAUACAGAGGGUGCGAGCGUUAAUCGGAUUUACUGGGCGUAAAGCGUGCGUAGGCGGCUUCUUAAGUCGGAUGUGAAAUCCCUGAGCUUAACUUAGAAAUUGCAUUCGAUACUGGGAAGCUAGAGUAUGGGAGAGGAUGGUAGAAUUCCAGGUGUAGCGGUGAAAUGCGUAGAGAUCUGGAGGAAUACCGAUGGCGAAGGCAGCCAUCUGGCCUAAUACUGACGCUGAGGUACGAAAGCAUGGGGAGCAAACAGGAUUAGAUACCCCCGUAGUCCCUGUCUCUUAUAC